rnacentral:rRNA from 1 species
UACAGAGGUCCCGAGCGUUGUUCGGAUUUAUUGGGCGUAAAGGGUGCGUAGGUGGCAAGUAAGUUGGAUGUGAAAUCCUGGGGCUCAACCUCAGAAUUGCAUUCAAUACUGCUUAGCUAGAGAGCUGUAGAGGAGACUGAAUUUACGGUGUAGCAGUGAAAUGCGUAGAUAUCGUAAGGAACGCCAGUGGCGAAAGCGAGUCUCUGGGCAGCAUCUGACACUGAGGCACGAAGGCCAGGGGAGCAAACGGG